ACCUAAGCGUUCUGCUCCUCUAC
rnacentral:miRNA from 1 species